AACGAUGGCUGAGUUAAGUAAGUUUCUUUGAGGUGUAUCUGUGUGAGACCUGGGAUUUAAAUGCAAGAAGGUUUGUGAAUCUAGAUGAAAUCCCUGGAGGGGUAUGAUCUCACAUGGACAUUGUUCAUCAUUAAAGUUAUGCCCUCCCUGGAGGAACUAUAUUCGACAGUGUGGAGUCACAUGUGUAAAAUGGAAAUGAAUGAGGAGAGCACUCUUGUAGGAUUGGACUAGGCAUAGGUGCCCGAUAACUAGACAUGGAGACCCGGAUCCGACCUUCCCUGCUUGAUCUUCCUUUUUUCCUGACCUCCCCGCUCGAAUCUGGAACAUAGGAACAGACAUAUACUUGAGGUCUCAAGUUGAGGCGGAGUUCCAAUUGCUUCACAAAGGCCAUCGUCAUCUUAUACACUGCUUAUAUCAACGCCGGCAACUCAAAGACACCCCUAUCUGGUCAGUUUAGGUCUCCUAGAAUCUGUAUUUGCUGAAAAUAUCUGUAUUUACUGAAAAUUAUAGAACUUAAACUCCUUUGAAUAUUAAAAUGCAUGUGCAUUUGCGUGAUAUAUCAGAUAUGGAAAGGCUAACUGAGCUGUGAUGUCAGUAUCUAUAAAACUUGUAUUGGCAGAAAUGUGGCACACUUGUGCAAAUUUUACCGAGUACUUUCCUAUUCCCUUGUCUCGUUUAUUAGCUAAAUUAUUGUUGUUUACCUCCAAUGUGAGCUGCAUGUUAUUUGAAUCCUGCAAUCCAGCAGAGGUUUAUUAUUUAGGUUUAUUUAUGGACUGAAAGAUCUGGAAUGAAAGAUCUCAUGAGUGGGGGAACAAUAUAGCAAAGAAGGGGCUUGGAGGAUUAGAGUGGUCCAUGCCAUUCUCCAUAUGAGUUCCCCUUGCGACUGCUAUUCUGAUGCAGCUCGCCAUUUUUUACUAUGCUCCUCAACGUUGUUAUGACUCAAGUUGUGGUGCCAAACUGCCAAUGUUAGUGGCCUUUAUAGUCUUAUAUCUGCAUGCAAGUGUAGCUCGGCAUGGGAACAAGCACGCAUCCCAGGUAGUGUGCACAGAAUUGAGGUGAAGCCAGGCAGCGACAUCAACAACAACAUGGACGUCGAAGUCGCCACGCACCAGUCUGAUGAUUGCUGUGAGCUACUUUGACACAUAUAGAGCCAUUGUACAUGUUCUUUGUUUCUCUGUCCAGCUGUUAAUUGAAUAUCUGGAGCUUUG